GGAGAGAGAGAGAGAGAGAGAGGAGAGAGAGAGAGAGAGAGAGAGAGAGAGAGAGAGAGAGAGAAGAAGAAGAGAGAAAGCUCACCUGAGCUCUUCGCCGGAUCCACCACACGCCAGGACGUCGUCAAGCUCGUCACCACCAUCAUCCGCAACCAAAGACUACCAUCGUGUUCCUCUCGUCGAGACGAAUCCGUGGCCACCAAAAACGCCUCAAUCGGAGUCCGGACGAAGCCGCACGCGCCUCCGGAAGUUUCGCCUCUGCGCGCGUGAGGUACACGCGCCGCCGCCGGAAAACGUCGCCACCGCCGGACCACCGUCCCCCGCCGCCGGAAUAUCCGCCGUCGCCGCCGUUGACCGUCGCCGGUAACUCGCCGGUGACUCGGUCAACUCGUCCGAGUCAACUCAAUUUGGAGUCCAUUUGAGCAGCUGGAGGUCAUAUAUACCACUUCUCUUCAUUGCUAAGGUGAGACCGACGAGCAGGAGUGAUUAUCGGACCGGUGCUAUUGGGCUUUUGGGCUUCUAUCGCUUUUACCGCUUUUAUCUUUAUCGGGUCUUUAGGCCUUUGGACUUUUAUCGUUUAUGUUAUUCCUAUUUCAGACUUUCGGUUUAUGUCGUAUUUUAUAUUUCGGAUGUUAUCGUUAUCGGGCCUUUUGGCGUUAUGCUAUCGUAUUGACUUUUAUAUUAUGGUGGAAAUUAUUAUUAUUAUUUGAGUUGUAUUAUUAUUUUAUUUCCGCUUUUAUCAAUUUAUUAUAUUUCGAAAGUGGUGGGUGCCACAAUUUGGUAUCAGAGCUAUUUAUUUAUCGUAACAUUUUAUUAUGUAAAUCGGGGUGUCACAAUUUGGUAUCAGAGCUAUUUAUUUAUCGUAACAUUUUAUUAUGUAAAUCGGGGUGUCACAAUUUGGUAUCAGAGCGGGUUCCGUCCCGGCUCCGACCCGGGAUGGCGAUUUUUGGAGACCUGGUUUUAUUCGGUUUUGACGGUUUUAAACGAUUUCAAAAUAUUUUCGGGGAUUUGGGAAUUUUGAAAAUAAAAAUAAAUAGCAUCUUUCCGUUCGAUAUUACUUCUCCUUAAAUGUUGGUAUCCAAAGUUCAGCGUAAGUUAACUUUUCGCUUUCCUUUUAGAUGCCGCCAAGGAGAAGAACCACCCGUGCCCAGACCGCCAGAGCCGUUAGAGACAAUGUAGAUGAGCAUGAGCAGCCCGCAGUUCCACCACCCGCGGCUCCACCAGUUGAUCAGGAUGCAUUGAGACAGAUGGUUCAGGAUGCCGCUAGACAGGCCGCUCAGGAGGCACUUCAGCAGAUUGCCCAGGAGGCAGCCAGGCAGGCCGCUCAGGAGGCCGCCCGAGUAGCUGCUCAGGAGGUUGCUCGUCAGAUGGCUGCCGUUCAGCAGGGUCCUCAGGUUCAGGUGCAGCAGGGUCCGCAGAUUCGGGUUCAGCAAGUUCCACUGGUUCAGGUCCAACAUGAUCAGCAUGGUCCAGUUCAGCAGUUUGCUCAUGGUGUUCAGGAUCUACCGCCACCACCACCGCGACCUCAUGUUUACCCGGUUUAUGAUGAGAGGUUCUACAGGCUGACAUGUCAGAUGAGAAACAUGGAGAUGGAGCAUUUUAGCGGAACAGUGGAUGCUGUAGCUGCACAUGAUUGGAAGUUAGCCUUGCAGCGGAAGCUGGAGAUUAUUGAGUGUCCACCAGAGUUGUCGCUCAGAUUGACUAUGCAGUACCUUCGUGGAGAUGCUCUUAUAUGGUGGGAGGGAAUACGAUUGAGUCACUUUGGGCCAGAGAGGCUUACCUUCGCAGACUUCAUCCGAGAGUUCGAUAGGAAAUACUUUCCGAAGGAAGCUAUGGAUAGGAAGAAAUGCGAGUUCGAGCAUGUAAGUCAGGGUAAGAUGUCUAUCAGGGAGUAUGAGGUUGUGUUUAACCAACUUCGCAGGUUUGCUGGAGAGGGCAUUUUAGAGGAAGACCUGAUGAGGAAAUUUUUGAAUGGGAUGCGAGUAGAGAUUCGUAACAGGUGCCGUGUCGCCACUUAUCACAGAUUGGGAGACUUGGUGGAGAAAGCUGCCGAGCAGGAGGCAGGUUUGGCAGAGGAGCAGAAGUACACCAAGGCAGAUCAGCCUAAGUUUGGAGGGACUUUAGAGGCACAGCAGAGGACAUGGGACAAACCGAGCAUACAAUGCUUUUAUUGUGGAAAGAUGGGACAUAAGAGUAGGGUUUGUCGGAGUAGGCUAUUUGAUGCCCAGGUUGCGCCACCAGUAGCGGCAGCAGCACCAGUAGUGGAUGUUAGGAACUGUUUUGGUUGUAACCAGCCUGGUCACAUUUUCAGAGACUGUCCGAGGAGGGGUAAUGCAGCGCUUCCACCACCACCGAAGCGUUUAGCCAUCGCUCCACGUGUGUUUACGGUUGGAGAUCCCCAGGGAGCUGAGCCGAUAGCGGGUAUGUUCUUAUCAUACUUGCUUGUGUUAAUAUUUGUGGUUUUGUGGUUAUCUUGUAUAGUUCGAGAUUUGUGAAUCUCGUGUAUGAUUGGUUGUGGUUGGUGUGAGUUACCUCACAGCUUAUUUGACUUAAGAGCUUUUCAUAGUUUUGUGAGUUCGCGUUUGGUUAAGUUUUAGUCUUUUUAGGGGGAUCUUCUAACCGAAAGAUAAGCAGAUUUAGAUUGUUGUUAUGGAGAGCUUGUUGUUAUGGAGAGUUUGAGAGCGAUCAGGAAUUCAUCGUGAUGUACCUGUUAUCAUUUUAGUAUUAUGAUGGCACCGUCGAAGUUUUAUGGUGGGUCUGGUCGUACACCACUUUGUUGGACCAAAGUGGGGGAGCAAUAUGAGUUAGAACUAUUAAUGGUUCAAGAGACGGUAGAGCAAAGGAUAUGCUCAAGGAUUGGCUUUCGGAAGCCCAUGACGUCAGAGGAAUUAUGCAGCUAAGCACCGUAAGGAUUUAGAGCUACAUAUGGGCAUACCUUAAAAUAAGGACAUUUCAGGAGGAGCCUAAGACUCAGAAGAUAAAGGAGCUUAAACCGAGAUACAUGGAAUUGUAUCCUGCACUGGAGUGGAUUGGAUUAGUUGCUUGCAGUUACUUUAUCAGCAGUAUAUCAGCCUUCUAGGACUUGGUUCAUAUGACAGCAUUGCAAAAGUUGAGAAGGCGCUAUAAUUAUUUUGCAGUUGACGUCAAGUGAGUUCAUAAAGAUUUUAUGGACCUUAUCAUCUAUUGAAGAUUUUGGAUCAUCAAGAGAAAACAGUUCGGGGAAUAUCGACUGUGUUUGUCCGAGUUCGUUGGGGAGGGAGAUAAGACUCAGGAGGAGACCUGAAAAGCCGAGCGACGAUUAGUAUUCGAGGUUUUUCUAUGAUGACAUUGGGCACGUCAACUUAUGACAUGAAUUCGGGGACGAAUUCCUUAUAAGUGGGGGAGAAUUGUAAUGACCCACCACUCCCACCAUCUCCACUUCUUUCUCCAACCCCACCACUUCCACCUUCUCUUCCACCAUCUCCACCUUCUUCCCCACCAUCUCCAACUUCUAUAAAACUUAAGAGAGAGAGAGAGAGAGAGAGAGAGAGAGAGAGAGAGAGAGAGAGAGAGAGAGAGAGAGAGAGAGAAGAAGAAGAGAGAAAGCUCACCUGAGCUCUUCGCCGGAUCCACCACACGCCAGGACGUCGUCAAGCUCGUCACCACCAUCAUCCGCAACCAAAGACUACCAUCGUGUUCCUCUCGUCGAGACGAAUCCGUGGCCACCAAAAACGCCUCAAUCGGAGUCCGGACGAAGCCGCACGCGCCUCCGGAAGUUUCGCCUCUGCGCGCGUGAGGUACACGCGCCGCCGCCGGAAAACGUCGCCACCGCCGGACCACCGUCCCCCGCCGCCGGAAUAUCCGCCGUCGCCGCCGUUGACCGUCGCCGGUAACUCGCCGGUGACUCGGUCAACUCGUCCGAGUCAACUCAAUUUGGAGUCCAUUUGAGCAGCUGGAGGUCAUAUAUACCACUUCUCUUCAUUGCUAAGGUGAGACCGACGAGCAGGAGUGAUUAUCGGACCGGUGCUAUUGGGCUUUUGGGCUUCUAUCGCUUUUACCGCUUUUAUCUUUAUCGGGUCUUUAGGCCUUUGGACUUUUAUCGUUUAUGUUAUUCCUAUUUCAGACUUUCGGUUUAUGUCGUAUUUUAUAUUUCGGAUGUUAUCGUUAUCGGGCCUUUUGGCGUUAUGCUAUCGUAUUGACUUUUAUAUUAUGGUGGAAAUUAUUAUUAUUAUUUGAGUUGUAUUAUUAUUUUA